rnacentral:rRNA from 1 species
GGGUUGUGAGGUUAAGCGACUAAGCGUACACGGUGGAUGCCCUGGCAGUCAGAGGCGAUGAAGGACGUGCUAAUCUGCGAUAAGCGUCGGUAAGGUGAUAUGAACCGUUAUAACCGGCGAUUUCCGAAUGGGGAAACCCAGUGUGUUUCGACACACUAUCAUUAACUGAAUCCAUAGGUUAAUGAGGCGAACCGGGGGAACUGAAACAUCUAAGUACCCCGAGGAAAAGAAAUCAACCGAGAUUCCCCCAGUAGCGGCGAGCGAACGGGGAGCAGCCCAGAGUCUGAAUCAGUGUGUGUGUUAGUGGAAGUGUCUGGAAAGGCGCGCGAUACAGGGUGACAGCCCCGUACACAAAAAUGCACAUGCUGUGAGCUCGAUGAGUAGGGCGGGACACGUGGUAUCCUGUCUGAAUAUGGGGGGACCAUCCUCCAAGGCUAAAUACUCCUGACUGACCGAUAGUGAACCAGUACCGUGAGGGAAAGGCGAAAAGAACCCCGGCGAGGGGAGUGAAAAAGAACCUGAAACCGUGUACGUACAAGCAGUGGGAGCCCUGAUUUAUCAGGGUGACUGCGUACCUUUUGUAUAAUGGGUCAGCGACUUAUAUUCUGUAGCAAGGUUAACCGAAUAGGGGAGCCGGAGGGAAACCGAGUCUUAACUGGGCGUUAAGUUGCAGGGUAUAGACCCGAAACCCGGUGAUCUAGCCAUGGGCAGGUUGAAGGUUGGGUAACACUAACUGGAGGACCGAACCGACUAAUGUUGAAAAAUUAGCGGAUGACUUGUGGCUGGGGGUGAAAGGCCAAUCAAACCGGGAGAUAGCUGGUUCUCCCCGAAAGCUAUUUAGGUAGCGCCUCGUGAAUUCAUCUCCGGGGGUAGAGCACUGUUUCGGCAAGGGGGUCAUCCCGACUUACCAACCCGAUGCAAACUGCGAAUACCGGAGAAUGUUAUCACGGGAGACACACGGCGGGUGCUAACGUCCGUCGUGAAGAGGGAAACAACCCAGACCGCCAGCUAAGGUCCCAAAGUCAUGGUUAAGUGGGAAACGAUGUGGGAAGGCCCAGACAGCCAGGAUGUUGGCUUAGAAGCAGCCAUCAUUUAAAGAAAGCGUAAUAGCUCACUGGUCGAGUCGGCCUGCGCGGAAGAUGUAACGGGGCUAAACCAUGCACCGAAGCUGCGGCAGCGACACUGUGUGUUGUUGGGUAGGGGAGCGUUCUGUAAGCCUGUGAAGGUGUGCUGUGAGGCAUGCUGGAGGUAUCAGAAGUGCGAAUGCUGACAUAAGUAACGAUAAAGCGGGUGAAA